AUUUUUUCCUUACUCUUAUAAAUUAAAAAAAUUUUUUUUACUUUUUAUUAUGGAUUCCUCUCCAUCUGACAUUCUAUCUUUUUUAUACGAUUCCCCAUUUGAAAAUUCAAGUCAUUCUCAAUUUGGUGAAGAUUUUCAGGAAAUCAUACAUUAUGCCAAAUUUAGACGGAGAAGAAAUCGAAGAAUAUUUAACAGAUCCGGUUGCUCAAACCUCUGUUGAUAUUAUAGAUUGGUGGUCUCGAAACGCUAAUCGUUUUCCAAAGCUGUCGACAAUGGCCAAGGAUAUGCGAACAAACUACGUCCGUAGCAAGCGAACGUAUUUUUUCUCGAGCCGGCGCAACCAUUACUAAGAAGAGGAAUAGGAUGUCAGCCUCAACGUUAAAACAAUGCCUAUGUAUAAAUUCAUGGGAUGUUAAUGUUUUAAAUUUGCGUGACGAAUUUUUUGUAUAAUUUGUUAUUUUUCAAUUAUUUGUUAUUUGAUUUCAUAUAAUUUUUAUUUUUUAUUUAUGAAAAUAAUAAAGAUAUGAAAAUGUGCCUUA